CUUCCUCAUUGGCCGUAGAGCAAUUCCAAGUAUACCAUCAAUAAAAGCCUAAUUAGAGUCAUCAAACCUCUCAGUCAUUCAAUUAGAGCCAUUAGAACUUCAUAACUAUGAGUUGUUUUCUAUGUGUAAGCUGAGGACACGUGUCUCCAGCUGACACAUCUGUAUCUUCGUAAAUAUUUAUGCUACGAUAAUGUAUUAUACCUCACAAAUUACAGUCGAAUCCAAAUAGUAGGCUUUCCACUUUUCAAGACUUUAGCUCAAAUACUGUUAAAACCACGAUCAAAAAACUAUGUGCGAGCUGGAGUACCGUGUCUCCAGCUUACACAUCUGUAUCUUCGUAAAUAUUUAAGCUACAUCAAUGUUUUAUAUCUCAUAAAUUAAAGUCGAAUAAAAAAACCCGACUUCAAUUCUUUCAAAGCUUUAUUUCGAACCGUUUUCGAACUACGAACCGAUACGUAUGUGUAAGCUGGUGACACGUAACACACGGUGGAUUAUUAAAACCGUAUAAGUUAGAGUUGCGUUUUAAAGAUCAAAUAAUUCGUUAUAAUUAAAGUACACACGAGACAUAAUUUCAAAUCUCUAGGUCUCUUAGUUUCAGAAUUAAAAGCCAAAAACUAUUUUCCCGCCAAAUAAUUCAAAUAAUAUGGGUCGACUGCGACGUUGCCGUUCCGUGCGUCCACUAGAGCAGUCGAAUUUGAACCUAAAAACUAGUACUGUUUGAAUCAUUUUUAUUUGUAGUUUAAAUCAUUUAAUUUCGAUUAUAAGAAUUUUAGACUAGGAGCCGGCUGAUUUCUGUAUUGAGUACCUAAUAACCUAUAAAAUAUUUUGAUAAUAAGUUUUUAUUUUGAUCACAAUGUUUUAUUUAAUCGAGGCAAAAACAUUGCAUCUAUACUAAUAUUAUAAAUGUGAAAGUAACUUUGUCUUGCUUUCACGCCUAAACCACUGAACCGAUUUUGAUGAAAUUUGGCAUAGAGAUGGUUGAGUCCCGGGAAAGGACGUAGGAUAGAUUUUAUCCCAGUUUUUGAAAUAUGAUAAAGAUUUUCAUCAUUAUCAUAAUCAUCUGAAAAUUAUAAAUAACUUGAAAAAAUCGAGUAUUCGGGUAGCCCUAGUGAUACUCUACCUCUGGGCUUCGGCUUGACAGUACUUUUUGGGAAACCUUGUACAGGUGAACAAUGGUGGCGCCCCCUAUCAAUGUGUUUGGUGGGACAGUUCAGUUUAGUGGGUCUUUUAUAGCUGAGACGGUUCAUUGUUCAAUACAAUCAAUUCUUUCCUCUCUAUUAUUUUAGGUGCCUUAUGUACGUAUAGAUUACGCACAUUCUUUUUAUAUGAACGUAAGGGUGGGAUUUAGGGGGUCACAAAACCGGUUUUACCGAAACCGAAAAAAAAACUGUAUUCAGACAUGGCAAAACCAGGUUAUUCUUGGAAAUAUAAUAGCUAGAAUGAAAUACUAAAAUAACAAUCAAAAACAUUUUUAUUCAGCUUGAUUAUUAUCACAGAUCAAUUAACAUUUUUAAUAAUUAAGGUAGAUACACUUUACUAGAAAUCCGAUGAUCUACGUUCUUGUCGGGUAUCACUAAUGAAAUAAAAUUCCUACUUCAUAAAACUAAUUAAUCAGGUAAAUUAUUUAUCACAGAUCGAUCAACUUUUAAUAACCUAGGUAGGGUAAGGUGGGGCACAAUGUUACACGGGGUACAAUGUUACAAUGCAUAUUUCUCCGUCCCUUUCUAUUAGUUGUAUGAUGUUGGUAUACACGUUUGUCAAGCUCAUAAGAGCUGCUGAACUGAGCCGCUGAACAUCAUACAACUAAUAGAAAGGGACGGAGAAAUAUGCAUUGUAACAUUGUACCCCGUGUAACAUUGUGCCCCACCUUACCCUAUACUUUACUGUGUAGUAGAAUACUGGUGAUCCACGGUCGGGUCGGGGAGGUUUCCGGCUUUUUUUUUUUUUUUUUGAAGGGACGCGCGCUGGUAGCUGGAGGAGCUUUUCCAGCUUCACCGGGCAGAGUGGCGAGUACAGAAGGUACUCUAGCCGUUUGGCGAUCGUCGGUGCGCGUGCCGACGAGGCCGAGUGUGGGCUUCGCGAAGCGAAAGCGAAGACGUUCGCGAUCGGGCCGUAGAUUCCGGCUACUGGGACCGCAAUUAACUGGGACAGUGGUCCCAGUCGCUGGAUCGAUAAAAAUUAAAUAUUUUUCUUCCAGCGACUAGGUUCACUCAUAGAUAACUUAAAAAAAUAUAUUAUUCAAGCCAAAAUCGGUAUCGUACUAAAAGGACAAUGACCAAAAGUGGUCCAAAUGUCCACCACUAAUGAGACCUAUAUUGGCUUAUGGUCCAUUAAAUAGAGAUUAAGUUUCAGUAUGGGACGAAAAAUAAAUAAACUGUCAGUAAAAAGUUAUGACUGUAUGAAAAAUUGUAGUAGUUUACGCGCUAAUCUCAGGAACUACUGGUCCGAUUUGAAAAAUUAUUUUUGUUAUGGAUAGCCCAUUUAUCAAGGAUGGUUUUAGGUUAUAUUAUAACAUCACCCUACAACCAAUAGGGGCGGAGCAGCGACCACCCGACCAUAAUUCCAAUAUUGUUGUCUUUCUUCUGAGUUUUUUUUUUUCUUUUAGCGAGAAUCUAACACGGCACACUAAGCGACAUGACAUAAUAUGCAUAGAUUAGUCCGAAAUGUGCGAUGGAUAGAAUGAUAUCAAGAACAUUAAUUUUCAGAUGAAAAGGUAAAAACAUGACUUUUCAUUCAGUCAUAACUUUUUACUGACAGCAUAUUUUUGAUUGCGGUUUGGUUAUAAUGAAUCAGUAUUUAGUAGACUAUUUUACUACAUAGGUAGGUGGUGGUUGACAUUUGGACCACACUCCAUACAUUUUUGGUCAUUGUCCUUUAUGAAUGGUCCCAGAAAAGUAUUUAAUUUUUACUGAUCUGGCGAUUGGGACCGCGGUCCUAGUUGAUUGCGGUCCCAGUUGGCGGAAACCUCGGGUCGGGUAUCACUCAUCCAUCAGAGAUUCGUAAAUCUAAUUAAUCUAUUUAAUUACCACAGAUAAAUCAUAUUUUACUAACUAAAUCACCUAAAAGUAACCUUUUCAUUAGUGUAACCUAAAAGUAAACCAAAGCAGUUCAAAAAUCAGCUAAAAGGUUACAAAAGUAACCUUCUGGCAACACUGACUGUUUCUCAAUCAUAAAUAGAGCAACAAAGAAUGAGCGAGCGAGAUGUCACUAUCUGCAACCCUGUGUGAUAAAAAGAGAUGUGUGAUGCUAUCAUCGUCACGUCAAUAGAACCAUUUUUGCAAAAGAUUUGACAGGCAGUGACACAUAGAGGCACAAAGAAAAUUUUAAAUUAUAGUUUUUUAUAAAAAUAUCGUAAAAUCCUGUUUAUUUUUGGAAAGUUUGUUUUCUUAUAUAAUGGUGACCUGUUCCGUCUUUGAUUGUGAUGUACACCAAAGGAAUAAUCCUGCAAAAUAUUCAUUUCACAGAUGUUUGUACUGUGCGGGAAUCGAACCCGCUACCUCCGGAAUAGUAGUCCGUUUCAAACCACUACACUAUACGGCCAACAACGAUUAUUACAUCGUUAGAAUCCUAUUUUCUUACGUUAUCGUCAGAAUUAUCAUUUUUUAAUUAUUGUUUUACUCCUACUAAUAUUAUAAAUGCGAAAGUUUGUAUGGAUGUCUUGAUGUUUGUAACUCUCAUUCUUCCAAAUAAAUAAGUUGAAUAAUUUUAA